rnacentral:rRNA from 1 species
CCCCSACCCGCUGGCCGGCRGCUUACACAUGSRAGGGGGCGCCCGUWGGGGAGCGGCAGACGGGUGAGUAACGCGUGSSMWYUKUACCAUUUGCUACGGAAUAACUCAGGGAAACUUGUGCUAAUACCGUAUGUGCCCUUCGGGGGAAAGAUUUAUCGGCAAAUGAUCGGCCCGCGUUGGAUUAGCUAGUUGGUGGGGUAAAGGCUCACCAAGGCGACGAUCCAUAGCUGGUCUGAGAGGAUGAUCAGCCACACUGGGACUGAGACACGGCCCAGACUCCUACGGGAGGCAGCAGUGGGGAAUAUUGGACAAUGGGCGCAAGCCUGAUCCAGCCAUGCCGCGUGAGUGAUGAAGGCCCUAGGGUUGUAAAGCUCUUUCACCGGUGAAGAUAAUGACGGUAACCGGAGAAGAAGCCCCGGCUAACUUCGUGCCAGCAGCCGCGGUAAUA